rnacentral:rRNA from 1 species
ACGUAGGUUCCGAGCGUUAUCCGGAUUUACUGGGCGUAAAGCGCGUGCAGGCGGCUCUGCAAGUCGGGCGUGAAAUCUCUUGGCUCAACCAGGAGAGGCUGUCCGAUACUGUGGGGCUUGAGGACGGAAGAGGCGGGUGGAAUUCCGCAUGUAGUGGUGAAAUGCGUAGAGAUGCGGAGGAACACCAGUGGCGAAAGCGGCCCGCUGGCCCGCUCCUGACGCUCAGACGCGAAAGCUCGGGGAGCGAACGGGAUUAGAAACCCCGGUAGUCCGAGCCGUAAACGAUGUUGACUAGGCGUGCCAGGCUUCAACUCUUGGCGUGCCGCAGCUAACGCGAUAAGUCAACCGCCUGGGGACUACGGCCGCAAGGUUA